rnacentral:lncRNA from 1 species
CUCCCAGAUAUGUGAGAACCAAAGACGAAGACGACGACAGUAGUGGCUAGGGUUCUGACAAGAAAGAGGUCGCCAGAGAGGGAGAAGAAGCCAACUUUGGCAGGCUAUAGAAGGGCUCAGUCAGGGGAGUCAGGCAGGCUAUACGGUGGGUAAGGAGAUCAGGUGGUUCAAUGGGCCUGGUGGUGGCAGCGGUGGUUGACCCAGGGAGGGUGGGGGCAGGAGCUCGGAGGUCGGCAUCAUCGGCGAACAUGACCAUGGUGGCACUCUAGCAAGAGGGGCGAGAGGGGAAUAAGGCAUCUGCCGUGGGUACUAGGGUUCACCGGAGCCCCCACAACGGGGUGGUGGCCGGCAGUAGGGCCAAGGGAGGGGUGGAGGUGGAAUGGCACAAGGAUGGAGAAGGGGCGAGGGAUGAGGCCUGUCACGAGGUAGAUGACGGGGUAACACUCUCCUAGAGCACGCGACUUGUCAUGUGUUAACACGCUGCUUAUAGAAUAUAUACUCCUAUCUGUCAUCUACCUUUAUCUACGUUUUUUAUACCGUUUCUGCUCCCAAAGGGGACCAUAAUGCCUGUUUCUGUACGGGAUACUGUAUAUAGUAUCAUUGUUCACUGUUGUAUCGAAUACUGCGUAGUAGUGUAUACAUUGUUUUUUUUUUCUUAUUUUCCUCUUUUCUUGCAAGACUACAAAUCUGCUUUCUUCCUCCCGUGCGAAAGUGUGGGGUUACCUAUUAUAUGGAUAAGUUUAGAAAAAAAUUAUGCGACAAUGUCGCAUAUUGCCUUGCAUAAGACACAAUCUGCUUGUUUUAUGCGUCCCAAGGACCACUAGUCAAAAUGGUAAUCAGCCCCACGUGAUAGAGCCGAUGGGCCUGAGCCGAUACUGAGCCGAUACUGCCUUGCAUGGGACACCUAUUAUAGAUUUUUUGCCUUCCGUCUCGUGUUUGGCGCACUAGGUGGGGAAUGUGGAAUGGGUAACACUAUAUUGUAUUGCUUCGUCUGGUUCUGUUCAUUUAAUUCUAUUAUUCUACAAAAUAAAAAAAGUUUAUAUUAUCAUGGAAAGAUUCUUCUUCAGAGUUUUAGAAAUGCAUGGUAUGCUUAUACAUUUAUUUAAACUAUGUUAUUGAUUGACUAUGAUCAACGUCGCAGUUGCAAA